rfam:Bacillus sp. OxB-1 DNA, complete genome.
GAUUCAUAUCCAUUUGUACCGUAGACAGCAGGGGCGGCUUGCCGCUUAAUGAUCCUGCCGAGGACAAGACGCUCUUUAAUUUUAAAGAUGACGACUUUUCUGCCCUCGUGUCUACUUCCGUAGACCGGGGGCUUUUUCAUAUCGGU